AUUCUAUGAUGAGGGAAUUUUCGUAGCAGUUCUUUAAACCUUUCCAACGUCUUGUACAAGGACUCAUCAUCCAUCUGUUGAAAGGUAGUGAUCUCAUUCCGCAACUU
rnacentral:snoRNA from 1 species